AAGGUCGUCGGCUGGAAAUCCCGACAACACUGCCCUGCCUGCCUAUUGAAAGCUGGCCAGAACGCAAUAAGCCAGAUGCAGAUGCAGAUGGAGAUGGGUCACUCCAGCGGUCACUUUCGGUAUUUGUGGGGGGGGCACAUAUUUCACUGGAGGACUGAAAGUCCCCGAAGAAAAACUUAAUGAUUUUCCCAAUCUAUAAAUAUGAGCAGCAAUCGAAGAGCAAAGCAUUUUUCUUCCGUGAUUGACACCACCCUGUAGAACCACAGGGGUCAAUUGACCCCUCUCGAACUAGUUCUGCGCUGUUUACCGCGCAACUAGCUACGCAACUAGUUACGCGGGAAGCGAACGCGGACCAGUCGAAAAAGAACCGAAAAACGAAGCCGCCUUCGGUUUGUUUUUGAAGGCGGCAAAUAACCGCAAUUCCGUGAAGUUACAGUGCCCACUCAGCUAGUUUUUACCGAGCCACGACAUGCAAUGAGCACCGAAAUAGUAAGUUAAUCGUGAUAUUUUACUGUAGUUACGAUCGUGGAAUGAAAGAGACAAGAAUUUACACAAACAAAAUGCAUUUGUUUUCCUCGUUUGCUUUAUGCGUUGAUUUUGUUCACAUCUGUACAAGAUCUAAUCGCUGGAAGAGUCUUUUGUGUGAAUAUUUAUUAAAAAAAUGGAAAAGAAUUAAUAAAUAAAUCAAAUUAAUAUAAACAGGUACGUGCAAAUACUUUUAGAAACUCUAAAACAGGAGAAUGAAGUUAUUCGUGGUAAGACUAAUAAAGAUUAACAGAAAAAUAUUUGUAUAAUCAAAUUAAUUAACAACAUUGUUUUUAGAUCAAUUGAAUGCAGUGGUCCAAAUUUUAGCGGAUCAAACUGUUUUAAUAAAGCAGCUGGUAAAGGAGAAGGGGGAAUUGAAUCCCAUUCGGGGACAGUUCCCUAUAAAACGUGAGGAAGAACUUAUAGAACUGGAAGAAAAAAUAAAAUUAAAUAGGGACAUUUAUAUAACAGCAAUGAAAUCAAUUCUCCAGUGCCAAAAACCAGGAGUAGGCUAAGCAUCAUAUAAUUAAAAAUUAUUCGUUAUAAUGAAAGACAUUGUGUUUUUAUUUUUGUAUUAUUCCAGACUGCCAGAUUGACUACUACCAGUAGUCAGUUCGGAACUAGUUACUGGUAACUAGGUCAGAGCUAGCUACAGGUAAUCAAAGGGUAGUCGAGUGGGGAACUAGUUGCUGGCUUUCUACUGGUAACUAGUUCGGAACUACCUCCUGAGCAACUAGCUACGGGUAAUCGAAGGGUAAUCGAGCGGGAACCAGGGGUGGUUCCGCCCUAGGACAUGCAUGUGUUAAAUUCUCCGCUGAAAUACAUUGCGGGUAAUCGAUCUGGAACCAGGGAGGUGAGAAUGGUAGCUAGUGCGGCACCAGUGCGGAACUAGUUGCCUGGUACUAGA